rnacentral:rRNA from 1 species
GGAAACGGGUGGUAAUGCCGGAUGUUCCACAUGAUCGCAUGUGAUUGUGGGAAAGAUUCUAUCGGCGUGGGAUGGGGUCGCGUCCUAUCAGCUUGUUGGUGAGGUAACGGCUCACCAAGGCUUCGACGGGUAGCCGGCCUGAGAGGGCGACCGGCCACAUUGGGACUGAGAUACGGCCCAGACUCCUACGGGAGGCAGCAGUGGGGAAUAUUGCACAAUGGGCGCAAGCCUGAUGCAGCGACGCCGCGUGAGGGAUGGAGGCCUUCGGGUUGUAAACCUCUUUUGUUUGGGAGCAAGCCUUCGGGUGAGUGUACCUUUCGAAUAAGCGCCGGCUAACUACGUGCCAGCAGCCGCGGUAAUACGUAGGGCGCAAGCGUUAUCCGGAUUUAUUGGGCGUAAAGGGCUCGUAGGCGGCUCGUCGCGUCCGGUGUGAAAGUCCAUCGCUUAACGGUGGAUCUGCGCCGGGUACGGGCGGGCUGGAGUGCGGUAGGGGAGACUGGAAUUCCCGGUGUAACGGUGGAAUGUGUAGAUAUCGGAAAG